GGGGCGGUAGCUCAGUUGGUUAGAGCCCUGAACUCAUAAUUCAGUCGUCGUCGGUUCGAGCCCGACCCGCCCCACCA
rnacentral:tRNA from 2 species